AGCAGCCGCGGUAAUUCCAGCUCCAAUAGCGUAUAUUAAAGUUGUUGCAGUUAAAAAGCUCGUAGUUGAAUUUCGGGGUUAGUAGGUUGGUCAUGCCUCUGGUAUGUACUGGUCUCACUGAUUCCUCCUUCCUGAUGAGCCGUAAUGCCAUUAAUUUGGUGUUGCGGGGAAUUUGGACUGUUACUUUGAAAAAUUAGAGUGUUUAAAGCAAGCUAACGCUUGAAUACAUUAGCAUGGAAUAAUGAAAUAGGACGUUCGAUCCUAUUUUGUUGGUUUCUAGGAUUGACGUAAUGAUUAAUAGGGAUAGUUGGGGGCAUUAGUAUUCAAUUGUCAGAGGUGAAAUUCUUGGAUUUAUUGAAGACUAACUACUGCGAAAGCAUUUGCCAAGGAUGUUUUCAUUAAUCAAGAACGAAAGUUAGGGGAUCGAAGACGAUCAGAUACCGUCGUAGUCUUAACCAUAAACUAUGCCGACUAGGGAUCGGAUGAUGUUAAUUUUUUAAUGACUCAUUCGGCGUACCCG
rnacentral:misc_RNA from 1 species